AGCGAGCCACGGUGUUUAUGUUUACAGCGUGCCACAGGUGUUUAUGUUUACAGCGUGUCACAGUUUUUUAUGUUUACAGCGAGUCGCAGGUGUUUAUGUUUACAGCAAGCCGCAGGUGUUUAUGUUAACAUAGAUUCGCAGAUGUCAACGUUACAUCGAUGUUUACUUUUUCAGCAAAUCGCAGAUGUACACAUUUACAGCGAGGAAGAUAUGCUUACGUUUACAGCGUACCACAGAUGUUUGCAUAUAGUUCAGACGUUUACAGCGUGUCACAUAUGUUUACUAGUAGUUUAAACUAUAUUUGGCAGGAACCUACAGCAAUUUAUAAUCACUUAAGAUUCUGUUUCCUGGAACUAGUGGAGUACCGGUAAUAUUUCGGGAAAGAUAUUCACGAGACUCGAACCAAUAUUGCUUGCUUGAGAGACAUACAAUUUUACUAUUAUGACACCGUCAUCUGAAGCACAAACUACAACAUGACAACCACAAAAAGAGGAUAUCGUCAUUUUUGUUAGAGUUGUAGACAAUGAAUAAGCAUACUAUUAUGCAGUCUAGUUUUUUUAUUGUUUAGAUAUAUAAGAUUUAAUGAAAUAUUUUCAUCAUUUUCUAACACUGCAUUCCUCUAUUGGUAAUGAAGAACAUGUAAAGGGAAAUUUUGUAUUUUAAAAAUUGAAACCGUACGUGAUGAUGGUCAGUAACUUUGUGGUUGAAGCCGGUUGAAAAGUCAUACCAGGUCGGACAUUGUCCUCAAUAUAAAACAAAGAAAAACUUGCAUAAUAAAUAUUAUAAUAUAAUGUAUCAUCACAAACUAAACGGUCAGCGAUCAUUCUAAUUAAAUAGUUUAAGUUUAAAUUGAAGAGAAGAGAAAUAUAUUUUAACAGAUGCUGGUAGGUCAUGAACACUUUUAUUUACUUAUAUUUAUAAUUAUUUUAUGACCUAAUUUAUUUAUAUAUUGUUCUUUAAACACCACACUCCUUUAUAUUUUGUAAUAAAUUCUAAAUAUGAAUGACUUUAUUAAACCAGGCAAGCUUCCUUAUUUCCUUUCUUUAAUCAAAAUUGUAAAAAUGCUUUGCUCGAAUUAUUUUUAAGUACAUGUGUCGCUCCUAUAGUCCUUAUAUUUUUGUAUGGCACGGAAAUAUACGACCGUUUCCAAAUUUUCACGAACUCUCUCUAUAUAUAUAUAUUUAUUGUAUUUGGCAGCUUUGUAGUACUACAUGAUUUAAUACACUUGUUUGACAAGAAAACCCCACAUCUUAAAGCUUUAACUGCAGCGUUUAAAUGAAAUAUUUACUUUUUGUGUUACCAUUUUAGAAGAUGAGUCGGGUUCCAGACCUGUCUAGCGUAAAAGCUGACCAUUAUGAAAUUCCUAUCGUCAUGGCAACAGAGGCAUCCUUAAGGGGUUACGCUUCCAUUGUGACAGACUUUACGACUGUCAAGGUCGAAAAAACGCCAUGGCCACUGAAAGGUUGGCGUAAGGCAAGUGACGAUACAGACAUUAUACAAGGAGAGGACACCGGAGAAAUUUAUUACAAAUGGGAAAAUAACAUAUACAUUGCCGACAAAGUGCAUGGUCGAAAGAACGAAAUUGGUGUCAUAAACAACAACAACAACAACAUCUCAUUACUUGGCAACGCCGACCAAAAAUUAUCAAGAACGCACGUUCUAGCUUGGGAAAGUACGUAUCAUCCGGAUUGCGGCGAAGUUUUCUUUCCGAAAAAUGGCGACGAGUUUGUUGUUGUUGUUGCGUUGCCAGGCGACGACAUAAAACCGGAAGACUUCAUAGCGUUCUUUUGUGAUGGUUCAUUCGGAAUUCAGACUCACCCAUUUGUAUGGCAUAUUGGAAUGUUUUCAGCGAAAGACAAUGUUACGUUUCUAGGGAAACAAGGCCUGUUACACGCGUGCGUGUCUGUAAACUUUGUUAAAGAGUUUGGUCGUUUAAUUUCCGUGCCCUUAGUGAAACCAGAGGAGUAGAAAAAAACUAUUUAACAUUUUAUCAACAAGCUAUUAAAUCAUACAUGUUAACGUUAUGUUUAUUACAUGAAAUGCACAGACGUGAAAUGAACGUUAUAUAUAUUGUGUAAAAUUGCGAGAAAUUAUUUUUGAACAGAUGUUUUAGGAACAAAAUAUUAAAGCAUUAAAUGUAUUUUUCUUUAAAAAAUCUAUGAUAUUUUGACAGUAUUUGUUCAGGUAAAAGACAAGCAGAAUAGUUGACGUUAUUUUUUUAACAUAAAGUUCAGUAAAAUCAGUAACACUCUUUAAAUGAUGACAUCAUACAAUGUCAUACAGUAAUGGUAUUUCAGUGUCAUAAUAUCUCAAAAAUGUGUUAUAUAAUAUGUGUUAAAUACAACUAUAUAUCUAAUUUGUCAGACACAGCUCUUUUUCUUUCGAGCGCUGUAUCAUGUAAAAAAACUUGUAUUCGCAUUAAAUGGGUACAUGAUAUCAAGAAGUUUUAAUGAAGUGACUUGUAUAAUACAGAGGGAGAUCAGUUCAACAAAUGUAAAUUAGCUUGUUAUCAAUUGAAGUUAUUAUACCUGUAAAAAGAUUACUUUGAGCACCUUUGUGUUUGAGAUAACUGUCUCUCGAUCUAGGUGUAGUGGGUGCAUCCCUUACUUGGGUAAUGCCCGGGUGCGUCCCUUACUGGGGAAACGCCUGGGUUCGUCCCUUACUGGGAUAACGUCCGGGUUCGUCCAUUACUGGGAUAAAGUUCGAGCUUGUCCCUUGCUAGGAUAAUACCCAUGCUCGUCCCUUGCUAGGAUAACGCCCGGGUUCGUCCCUUACUUGGGUAAUGUCCUAGUUCUUUCCUUACUGGGGUGACGUCCGGGCUCGUCCCUUACUGGGGUGACGUCCGGGCUCGUCCAUUGCUGGGGUAACGACCUUGUUUCUUUGUAAGAUACCAAAUUACCAGUACUUGUUGUUCCCAUGAAGGAAAAAGAAACGCGACUGGUUUGUAUAAGCGUCAGAUUUUUAUGCUAAUCAGACUAUUAUAAGUGUGUUUGAUAUCAUAAGUUUAGUAACCACAUCUCAACGAGGACAUCAGUAUUUUCUUAUACAUGCUGAGUGGUCUUUGAAGGCAAGUUUUACUGUAUUUUCUUGUUACAGAUAUAACAGAUGUCACAUAUCGUCACCUAAGUGCAAUAACUGAUUAACUCCUAUUAAAUUUAUAUGGACUUAUUCUGUUACUGCACUAAAGUGACGAUAUAUGUUUACCUUUCUCAUCAUUGUUAUCAUCAGCCGUUAUCUCGGUUUGAAAAUUAAAUUCAGACUCAAUUUUUUUUUUUUUUUUUGCUUUUGAACUUUACAAGUAUGUAUAUAGGAUGCCGGUAUUGUGAGUGUGAAAUGAAUGUUAAAUAGCGACCUCCUUAACUAUUAAAUACAAAUUAAGGUGACGGUGGUUUAUUUCAUUUCAUUUCAUUUAUUUUAUUUUUAAAGGAAUCACAAUUGUUCGUUGAGGGUUGGAGAAAGGCAAGAAAAGGGACAGAUAUUAUUCCAGGAGAGGACGUCUUCGAAAUAACAUACGCACGUAAUGAGCAAGGUAUUACCAUGAAGAAAGAACGCGGACGUUUGAACGAAAUAGGUCGUCUUACGAAAACUUCUUGCUCUAAUGAAGAAGUGACGUCCGUUUUAGUACAGGAAAUGACGUAUCAUCCAGAUUGUGGAGAGGUAUUUUUCCCAAAGAAUGGGGAUGCAUUCAUAGGUCUUUUUGCUCCUCCAGGGGACGAUUUUGACCCCGCAACAGUGAGGGCAUUUUAUUUUGACGGAAGUUUCGGUGUUCAAUGUCAUCCGAAUGUUUGGCAUCAAGGCAUGUAUAUCCUACAAGAUGAGGCCAUCAUGAAGGGGAAACAAGGGCCGCUUCAUUUAUGCAUCACUAUCGAUGUUGUAGAAGAACUAGGACAAUAUUUGAGUGUACCUUUACAAAAACCUUGUCAAUAAAAAUAAUAUUGUAUACGAAAUUAACUGCUUCAUAAGUUUCAGAAAAUGAAAAUAUUUUAUUGCUAUCAUAUUUCACAUUUUUCAGUAAGAAAAGAUUAAAAAAAAGUGUUGUUGUCAAAAUUA